GGAAGUAACUGAUCUUCAAGAGAUGUCGAGAGAUGAAAGGCUGUUUCCAUGCCUAUAUUGGAGCUCAACACUUCUUCUGUCAUAAGUCCUAACAACCAAGACGUAAGCAAACCGUCAUUGCUUUCCUAUGAGAUCAAUUCGGGAUUUUCAACAAUUUCUCCAUCUUUCUGUAAAAUUUUCUCUUGUGGCUUUUCAGACAUAAGAAUGUGGUUCGAUAAUCCGAGGCUUCGAAUGAGGGGUAGGAUUUGAGAUCGCCACAGAAGAAAAUUUGUAGAGUUAAGUCUCACGGAGAUAAGGCUGGAACAUUGGUGGAAGGCUUGGAUGUUUAGGGUUGGCUCUUUAGGAAGAGAUGACGAAGAAGAAGA
rnacentral:lncRNA from 1 species